AUUGAACGCUGGCGGCAGGCCUAACACAUGCAAGUCGAGCGGAUGAAGGGAGCUUGCUCCUGGUUCCAGCGGCGGACGGGUGAGUAAUGCCUAGGAAUCUGCUUGGUAGUGGGGGAUAACGUCCGGAAACGGGCGCUAAUACUGCAUACGUCCUGAGGGAGAAAGAGGGGGGUCUUCGGACCUUACGCUAUCAGAUGAGCCUAGGCCGGACUAGUUAGUUGGUGGGGUAAAGGCCUACCAAGGGGACGAUCCGUAACUGGUCUGAGAGGAUGAUCAGUCACACUAGAGCUGAGACGCGGUCCAGACUCCUGCGGGAGGCAGCAGAGGGGAAUGUUAGACAGUAGGCGAGAACCUGAUCCAGCGGUGCGACGUGUGUGAAGAAGGUCUUCGGAUUGUGAAGAACUUUAAGUUGGGGGAAAGGGCAGUAAGUUGAUACCAUGCUGUUUUGACGUUACCAGCAGAAGAAGCACCGGCUAACUUCGUG
rnacentral:rRNA from 1 species